CAACUAGAAUGAAUAGUAGCAAGUAGGUGAUUCACCUGCCUUUCUCCUUCACGCUCUUGGUGUCCUUCGGCCUACCACGUUGUCGAAGAGUUUGAGACCUGUUUUGUAGGUUUGAUUUUUCUGGCUUAUAUCUUCAUCUCAUCUCUGUCAAUAUUUCACUUUUGUGUUUGUCUGUUGAUGGAUUUCUCUCAUGAUCUUGUGUUGAAAAUGGUUCGAUGAUGGUGAUGACGGAAGACCGUUUGGGUGUACGAUGGUAAACCUGAGGUCGAUGGCUUAUGGAAGGUGCUCCGAUGAUGGCGUAGUUGGAGCGUCUUUGAGGUUUACGUUGCUAAACCCUAAAUCGCUAAAUUUGGUGCGGCGUUGGCCACAAGGAAGGGCUUUUAGGAUUUUUGAUACUAAGCCCUAAAUCAUUCAUUAUAGGGCAUGCUUGUGUCGUCUCUUAGGGUUUACAAUAUAUAAUAAACCCUAAAUUUGUCAUUGGUACACACGAGACUAUGAUGAGUCUCGAAAUCAAGUCAGUAUGUUGCCAUGGCGUGGCAGCUGUGGAGGAUGGCAGGUUAUCACCUGCAACCUCUAUUGCAGCCAUGGUGGCUUGGUCCUUUUGCACUCUCUGAGCCUCACAAGUUGUUAAACGUUGUUUGGAGCUUAGUAUUUGGUUUUCUUCAUGUUGAACAAACCUAGCUGUUAGAAAUGUUCAGCCGGAUCCCACUGUGGUACAUGAGGCGGUGGAUGAGAUUAAUAUAUAUUGUAUGUAUGUGUGUUUUGUAGGCAUAUAUUCACCAAACGCUUACCGUCGUUUUGUAUGGGAGUUCAUUAGAGAUCCAGAGAGAAUCAGGUUGUUUCCUAACUUUGCAUCUUUUUGCUGGCAUGAUAAGUUUUUUAACAAGAAAAGAAAAGAAGUUACAAUAUGUUGUAACGAAUCAUUUUGAAAAAAAAAACUAUAGAAAUGUGAACACCUAUAAAUAUUUGGUCAGAGUUGGGGAAAGGGAUGGGCUGGGUAACGAGUCAAAAGAUGUACUUUUUUAUUUAGAUCUAAACGGGUCAAGUUGAAUGGAAUUUUGUCUCAUUUUCUUUGAUGAUCAAUAUAUGUUACUCCAAUAGCAAGCUAAUGUUUAGAAUAAAACGAUUCAAGUGGAGUUAAGCAUUAAAAACACACAUUUGGGCGGAUUUUGAGUUCUGACCUGUUAUUUAUUUGUUUAUUUUAUCUCUUACAAAUAGAGCAUAUCCUGAAUCAACCCAUCCAUUAGUACGUUGGCUGAAAUUGCAAUUUUCUUAUGACUAUCUUGCCUACUACUUGUAAAGAAGUGUUUCUUCAUUUUAUUUUUGGCAAUAGAAGUCGUUUGUUUUCAUAGAUAUAAUGAAUUAUUAUAAAAGUAUGACAUGUGACUUAAGACUACAAAUAUAUAAUCAUCAGUUUUGUUUAACAUGACUGAUUUUACAAUAUACACCGUGAGCCAUACUUGAAAUCAUCAAUCGGGUGAGGAUUUCAAGAUCGCUACAUCUACAACAAUUCUAGAGCAGGGGACUUACUAACGCUAUGCCUACAUAUCUAACCAGGUAUGUUUGUUCGUUGACUUUACAAAAUAAACAUGUAGGAGGCAGACUCAUAUGUGUGUGACUAUUUGGAAAAUGGAUUAGCUUGGUUGUGUUUUAGUUUAGAACUUGAUCCGGUUUUGACCCGCAACUCAACAUAUGUGGAACGCGUUUUGGUUAGCGUCUUUAGAUGUCGAGUUUUUUGAUGCAAAUUGUAUGGACAUUUCCUUCGACUCUUUGAGAACAUGAGGAACAUGGACAUUGUACCAAGAAAAUUUAGUGUUUACGUUAUCAAGGUUAUAUUAGACUGAAUACCCGCAGCUCUUUAAACCGGGUUCGGCUCUAUAUUAAUGAGACAUAGGCAUUGAAUGGUUAGCCUGCCCUUUUUUUCUAUUCCAUCUCAUUCCAUUCCGGGGUAGGCGACUAAUACUAAUCUAAUAAAUGAAAUGAAGUAGUCGUCGUCUGACCAAUCGGUUCGGACACAUGCUUUGUUGUUAUUUCCCAUUGAUAGUUUUCUUAAUUGUUGUUUGGCGUUGAUAAUAUGUUUUUUUUUCCUUUUGCAUGAAUUAGCUUACAAUUUUCCAAUUUGUUAUCAUUCAACGUUAGUUGUUAUUACUCUAUGCAGGUAUGUAUUAGUGUUUUUUUCCCAAAUUAUUGACUUAUCAUACAUGUCUUAAUGAGUUUGCAUUUUCAUUUCAGUCUUAAGUGUAUUGUAAAUUGUUAUAUUUGAGAUUUAGUAGAGGCCAAUCAAAGCUUUCUAAAUUUGUUUAAUUUUGGUUGUUAUUUUUCUACAUUGAUGCAUUUGUUUAUUGUUGGUGAAGUUUGAAGUUAUUUAUGACAAUGAUCUGGAUACUUCAGUUUUCCUAGCCCAUGGAAUCUUAAUAACUUGCCAAAAUUACAAGGGUCAAUGCCUGUGCUGUUCACCGUAACUUUGCUGGUGUUAUGGUUACCUUGGCUUUACAUAGGGAUGCUAUUUUCGUGUUUUUGUUGGUGCUUCGAAAACCAUUGCUUCUAUAUAGAAGUAUUACGAUUGGGGAGAGCCCGAAUGUUGGUAUAGUGUCCUUGGUAGUGAAGCCGAUGCUUUUGGAAGCUAGGUCCUUAUUGCAUAUCAUAGCAUUUCCUGUUGGAUAGCUAUAAUGCUAUGGCAGUUUUAGAUUUAGUUUUUGGUGUUGCUUAUUAGAACAUCAUGUUAAAUUUUAAAGUUAAAUUUGUAUUUAGUGCGUUUUUUAUAAAAUUGAUUCGCCAGAUAUUUACCGUG